rnacentral:lncRNA from 1 species
CUUACCACACGCCAAGGAAGCAGGCACAGACUCCAACUCAGACCUAUGGAUUAAAACGCAGAGAGAAGGGGAAGGGGGGGUGCUUCGCGGAGCAGCACCUCGGCGAGGCGAGGCCCCAGCGAGCUAACAGGCGCUGCCUUGGAGCGUGAGAUUAGCCGAAGAUUCCUAGAAGAAGAAUCUACUCUGGGACAUUUCUAUUUUUAAUUUUUACUCGACUCCUAAAACACCAAAGU